rnacentral:tRNA from 1 species
CGCCAGAUAGCUCAGUUGGUAGAGCACCGGCCCUGACUAGAAAUUCAGGGGGCCCGGGUUCGAAUCCUGGUCUGGUCC